UGGGGAAUAUUGCACAAUGGGCGCAAGCCUGAUGCAGCCAUGCCGCGUGUGUGAAGAAGGCCUUCGGGUUGUAAAGCACUUUCANCGAGGAGGAAGGUGGUGAGCUUAAUACGCUCAUCAAUUGACGUUACUCGCAGAAGAAGCACCGGCUAACUCCGUGCCAGCAGCCGCGGUAAUACGGAGGGUGCAAGCGUUAAUCGGAAUUACUGGGCGUAAAGCGCACGCAGGCGGUUUGUUAAGUCAGAUGUGAAAUCCCCGGGCUCAACCUGGGAACUGCAUUUGAAACUGGCAAGCUAGAGUCUCGUAGAGGGGGGUAGAAUUCCAGGUGUAGCGGUGAAAUGCGUAGAGAUCUGGAGGAAUACCGGUGGCGAAGGC
rnacentral:rRNA from 1 species